rnacentral:rRNA from 1 species
UACGUAGGGGGCAAGCGUUGUCCGGAAUCAUUGGGCGUAAAGAGCGCGUAGGCGGCCCUGUAAGUCCGCUGUGAAAGUCAAGGGCUCAACCCUUGAAUGCCGGUGGAUACUGCAGGGCUAGAGUCCGGAAGAGGCGAGUGGAAUUCCUGGUGUAGCAGUGAAAUGCGCAGAUAUCAGGAGGAACACCGAUGGCGAAGGCAGCUCGCUGGGACGGUACUGACGCUGAGGCGCGAAAGCGUGGGUAGCGAACAGG